CAGCCGUAAACUAUGCGCGUUAGGUGUAUCGGUGACCACGAGUUACCGAGGUGCCGAAGGGAAACCGUGAAACGUGCCGCCUGGGAAGUACGGUCGCAAGGCUGAAACUUAAAGGAAUUGGCGGGGGAGCACCACAACAGGUGGAGCCUGCGGUUUAAUUGGAUUCAACACCGGAAAACUCACCAGGGGAGACUGUUACAUGAAACCCAGACUAAUGAUCUUGGUUGAUUUUCAGAGAGGAGGUGCAUGGCGUCAGUGACU
rnacentral:rRNA from 1 species